UCCUACGGGAGGCAGCAGUGGGGAAUAUUGCACAAUGGGGGAAACCCUGAUGCAGCGACGCCGCGUGAAGGAAGAAGUAUUUCGGUAUGUAAACUUCUAUCAGCAGGGAAGAAAAUGACGGUACCUGACUAAGAAGCCCCGGCUAACUACGUGCCAGCAGCCGCGGUAAUACGUAGGGGGCAAGCGUUAUCCGGAUUUACUGGGUGUAAAGGGAGCGCAGGCGGCCUUGCAAGUCUGAUGUGAAAGGCCGGGGCCCAACCCCGGGACUGCAUUGGAAACUGCGAGGCUGGAGUGUCGGAGAGGCG
rnacentral:rRNA from 1 species